ACUUAAAUAGUUUAAAAUAAAACGUUAAUUUGUGGAAUUAAAUAUAUGAUUAAUCAUUUUAAGUU
rnacentral:tRNA from 1 species